rnacentral:rRNA from 1 species
UACGUAGGGUGCGAGCGUUGUCCGGAAUUAUUGGGCGUAAAGAGCUCGUAGGCGGUUUGUCACGUCGGAUGUGAAAGCCCGGGCUUAACUCCGGGUCUGCAUUCGAUACGGGCAGACUAGAGUGUGGUAGGGGAGAUCGGAAUUCCGUGGUGUAGCGGUGAAAUGCGCAGAUAUCAGGAGGAACACCGAUGGCGAAGGCAGGUCUCUGGGCCGAUACUGACGCUGAGGAGCGAAAGCGUGGGGAGCGAACAGG